GGUGUGGUUAUCGAGUGGUCCUGUAACUUUGGAUAGGAAUCAGGUCGCAUCAGGUCAGGACGUCCUGUGCUUCCCGGAGGAUGAUACAGAUCGGUAUGCAGGGCAGGACGCCUUGGCCUUCUCUCCCUGGGGCAGCCUUGAUCUUCAUCAUUAUCACUUGUAUGACCCUGGGCAAAAUAUUUAAGUUCUCUGAAACCUGUUUCCUCCUCCAAGAGGUGGAGAUAAUAUGUACCCCACACAGUUUCAGUGAAGAAUUGGCAUCCAGAACACUGAGCUGCCCUCGCCUCCCAGACCGCGAGCCUGAGUCGGCCGCUGCCCUGCACCGUGGUCCCCCAGCUCCCGAAACUGUGCUGGGAAACCCCGUUUCGCCAAGAAUGGCUAAAGCAGUGCUGCCACUGAUGAGAUCUGUUCCACGGAGACCCUCGGCCCCAGCCCUGAGGCCUGCUGGCCUGGGAGCACCCUCUCCCCAUCCUACCUCGGAAUCUUUUCGGGCAUCUCCCUUGCCUGCGGAGGAGUCUGCCUAGAGGUUUCCACAGUGUUGAUCUACAGAGCCAGCUUUGGUUCCAACCGUCUUCCUGACGUGUGCUCUGAUCCGGUCGCCUGGGGCGUCCUAACCCGAAGGUCUCACGUUGGCUGCGGAGCCUGACACUGCCCUUCGGCAGCAGAGCGGCCUCAGCACCAGGUCUGCACCCAGGCUCCUCGGCGCCGUGGGUGUGGCCCAGGCCCCUCCCGACCUGGGAAGCGGCUAGGACAGUCACAAGCGCUCACCCUAGCAGAAGGACGAGGGUAGGGCAUCUGCACACAGUCAGCCAUUUAUGUGAGCCUCGCUGCAGCCCGGUCACAUGGGUACUAUUAUUAAACCCUUUGUACUGAUGGGGAAACUGAGGCAGGAAGAGGGGAAUCGAUUUGACCAGCAAGCCAGAGGUAGAGCCAGGUGAUCUGGCUUCAGACCGGCUUUUAACUCAGGCUGUGUGGCCCUCAAGGGAACGGGAAAACAUCACCCUCCUCUUCUCCACCACCGCCAGGCCCAGCCCAGACCCCCUGGUCCCUGCCCUGGAUCCUGCCCCAGGAACCUGCCUGUCGCCCUCCCGUCCAUGGGGGCUAGGGCCUAUAGUACCUUUCUGAAGACGAAUUCUCCCUCCUUCCCCUUUCCUGACUCUCACUGCUCUCGGGGUGCAGGCCAAAUUCCUCCCCAUGUAAGGCAUCCCCCAUCAGCCCUUCCCCCAGCCUCACCCCGGCUGUCAUCCUGUACCUGGUCCCAGCUCCAGGUACUUCUGCGCUUUGUGGCUGCACUUGACCAUGAACUCCCCGGGGGCAGAACAGCACCCCCCACUCCCCACCCCCAUCAUCUUCUGUGUCCCCAGCACAGAGAGCUCAGACAGAACAGGAGAGUUGAAAUGACCCUCCCUGGAUUGGGUUCCUUUGGGUCCCUGCCGCUUCCGAUUCCCCUCCCCCCGAGCCCAUCCUCACCCUGGGGAUCCUGGUCCACCACCCGCCCAGUGUCAAGACCCGCCUGGUCUGUGCCCCACCCACUCUCUCCCCAGUGGCUCCCAGUGCCACUCCAGGAGCUGAAUGCCAGCUCGGACUCAAUGCUCAAGGCUUUUCGGGGGGCCGUGUGCCCACCUGCAUGUGCAGCCCUAUGUCUAAGGGGCCUCCCCAACCACCCCUCCAAGGCUGGUUGGAGGACCCUGGGGCCACAGGCAGGACUUGCAGGCCUGGUGACAGGAUGGGGUUAGGGCUCAGCAGGGGCCCCUGGGCUGCAGGGGGAGCCUGGGGUGCUGCGCACCGCAUGGGGACCUCCAGGGGACAGAGGAAGUGGCGCAGAGCAGGGGUGGCCUCCGCAGCCAGAUCAGUCAGCACCGGCCGCAGCUCCAUUUCUCCCUGAGCUAAUUCAGGAAGUCACUUGGGUGGUUUGCAGAACCCUGAAUCAAUUUUCUUUUCAAGGUAAAAAAAAAUCUGCCAGGGAAGGCAGGCAGGUGGGCGGAAGCUCGAUGAAGAAUAAAUAAUGGUGCUUUGUAAUCUAAGCCACCCACGCCAGGGAAGGCCCCCGCCCCAGGACAGCGUGACCCCGCCAAGGGCACUGGCUGGGAGGGACUGGACGGGACAGAGAGAGCAGACCCUCGCUGGGCCGGGGGCUCUGGCUCUGGACCCCAGUAUUUCUGAGCCUUGGAUGGUUAGGACAGGGACACACGCGUCAUUUUAAUCUAACUGUGCUCUUUCCUGUGGCUCCUUCCUGAGGCAGGGUCCACACCGAGCUGUCAGGUGGGGCAGGCUGACAGCAGGAGGUCUGGAGGCAGGGCAGUGGGGUGAGGCCUAUCAGAACAAGUGGCCGCAAGGCAAGGCGGCACUUACCCAGAGGCCACGGGGAAAGAAGACAUAGGACAUGGGCGGGUCAGGGUUCCAUUUCUAGCUCUGCCCCUUUCCUGCUGUGUGCCCUUGAGGAAGUCACUCUCCCUCUCUGUGCUGCAGUGGCCUCACCUGUAAAUGGGUCGCGGCUGCUCCUGAAAGGAAUGUGGGGUGAUUUGGUGUGUGUCCCGCCUGCCCUGAGGGCUUUCCACUCCCUAACCACCGCCCCUGCCUCACUGUCCUUUCCCAGAGCCCAUCAGGGACUGCAGAGAGCGUCCGUCUGCACCUCCUCCAUUGAACUCUGGACUGGGCCACUGCCCUCCUUGUCUCCUUUCCAAAUCACUUCUGUCAUGGUCCCAGCAGGAAACAGAUGGCACGCGCAAACGAUUUUCUGGAAGGACUUUGGCAAAGGGACUGUUGACAGGCGUGAGAGCGGGGUUAAGAGAGUCGACAAGGGAGGCGGCACCCCAGAAACAGAGACCGACUGUCCAAGGGCCCCGGGGUGGUCAGCAGGCGCCCAAGCCGGACCCCGCUUCACAUAGGAAGUCACAGCCAUUGACGGGCAUUUUCCACCUGCCAUACAAUGUCUUUAGAGAAUGCACAGGCUGCUUCGGGACCGCCAUUCGCAGCUCUUGUGCGCACUGAGGGACCUGAAUGUCAGCUCAGACUUGGUGCGCCGAAGGCUUUUCCAGGGGGAGCGAGUGCCCACCCGGCAUCGCACCCUGGUGUCUCCCCACGGGCUGUGAGGAAUACACGUGACCGUGUGCAUGGAAGUGCCCGGCAGCGUGUUCGGAAGGAGCAGGGGCUGUGCCCGCAUACAGGAAGUGCUUAAUCAAUGUGGAGAGCAAACAAGCAGGUUCUUUGCUGAGGGGAGAGGGAGACAUGAAGGUGAGAAGGAAAAAGAUGGCUCCCGGUGGGAUGAACCAAGGAUGCUGUAUGUUUGGUUGCUGUGACCCAUGGCCACAGACGUGGUGACUUAUUACAGCCCACAGUCAUUCUCGCCCAACUCCGGAGGGCAGACGUCAGCCGUCGGUUUCACGGACCCAAAUCGAGGGCUGGCCAAGGCUGUGCUCUCUCUUGGAGCCACUCGGGGAAUCACGUCCCUGGCCAUCUCCGGCUUCUGCAGCUGCAGUCGUUGGCUCCUGGCCCCGUCCUCCAGCUUCAACAUCAGCGGGUGGCCCCCCUCCCUCCAGGCCCUGGGCUGCGGGCAAAGGAGGGGGCCCUCAGGGCCGCACUGCCCGGCCACCAGCCCUGGGGAACCUGCCGGCUGUUUUCUAACAAUUAGUGGGAGAAAGACCUCAUCCAAGCACACCCAGGGCGGCCGUUUCUCCUGGCAGUACUUUCCGGUUUGGCUCCAAAAGAAAAUAAAAACGUGAUGUUUAGUAAUCCCUUCAAAA